rnacentral:rRNA from 1 species
AGCAGCCACGGUAAUUCCAGCUCCAAUAGCGUAUAUUAAAGUUGUUGCAGUUAAAAAGCUCGUAGUUGAAUUUCGGGAUCAAAUUGUCGGUCGUGCCUCGGUACGUACUGGUAUUAUUGGUUCCUCCCUUCUGACGAACCACGAUGUCAUUAAUUUGGUGUCAUGGGGAAUCAGGACUGUUACUUUGAAAAAAUUAGAGUGUUUAAAGCAGGCUCGCGCUUGAAUACAUUAGCAUGGAAUAAUGAAAUAGGACGUUUGAUUCUAUUUUGUUGGUUUCUAGGAUCGACGUAAUGAUUAAUAGGGAUAGUUGGGGGCAUUAGUAUUCAAUUGUCAGAGGUGAAAUUCUUGGAUUUAUUGAAGACUAACUACUGCGAAAGCAUUUGCCAAGGAUGCUUUCAUUAAUCAAGAACGAAAGUUAGGGGAUCGAAGACGAUCAGAUACCGUCGUAGUCUUAACCAUAAACUAUGCCGACUAGGGAUCGGAUGAUGUUAAUUUUUAAUGACUCAUUCGGCGCCUUAAC